GAGCAAGACAACUGGUAAGAAAUGCUCUUAAGGUACUACUAGCUUGUCUAAAUUUACUCGAUCUAAAUUGCAGCAUCAAUAUCUUGUUAGUGUGUACAUUGUUUCAUACCUGGACGCUCUGACAAUAUUUCCGGAAACUCCGGACACAAAACCCGGAGUAUCCGGACAUAUAUCCAGAGUAUCCGAACAUCUGUGUUACUGACAGUGUUUAAAGUGUUUUAAGUUUAAUAUUAGCCUAUUCACCCCCCCUCUAGGCAUCUUGAGAUCCUUUUAAUUGUUAUCAGAGCGAGGUUCUCCAUCUUUGAAGGCUAACCGCUUGGAGAAUCAAAAUGUCAAGUGAUACUUCAUCAAAGGCUCCUAUCAAUCCAACCAAUGAAGUUGACAAGAAGAAGUCAUCGGGAAAGCCUGAGGACAAGAAGAAGAAUAGUCAACACGAAGAAGAAGAAGAUGAGUUGGAAACAACCGAUGAUGAGAUGUCAUUCCAAGAGUGGAAGGUAUGGA
rnacentral:lncRNA from 1 species